GCCCACCAUUAAAACCAAUCAAGAAGAAGAUGCUGAAUUAGAUGACUAUAAACAUACUGCAUGCAGUGGGACCCUGGCUAAGUCAACUUGGAAAUACAGUCUACACAAAGUGUAGCCUACAACAUCACUACCCCACUUGCAACAUCACAUUUCACCACUGCCUUUCAGUUCCGUGUUAUUUCCCUCUUUGCACUGCCUACACCCAAUUCUUGGAGUCUAAUAUUUAUCAUUUCCUCUCCAGCCAGCUUUAUCAUUUUGUUUCUCUUUUUUUAUUGGAAUAAAACAGUAGACAGAGUGGACAACAUGUAGCAGUGUUACAAUUUAGAACUGAAGCAAUUAGUCGGUCUCCUGACAAAAUUAUUCUGUAGCCUUUACAAUAAUAAAUUAAUAUUUUCAUUUCAUUUUUCAAACAAAGAUAGCAAAACAAUGCCAAAGAGUUUUUUUUAACACUUUUAUAACAUGUAUAGGCUAAAUUAACCAGGAGAUUAUUCAAUGAUAAAAAUAUUUCUAGCAGAGUUACAAUAAAAACAAAAUAACAGUUUAAAGUGAACAAAGACUUAAAAUACAAACACAAUAGCAAAUUGCAAAGCAUUUGUAACUUUAUUGAGUGCAGCUUUAUGUAGAGCCCAAAUCUGUCAGAUUCUGAAGUUUUACUGGCACCGAUGAACGCCUCUAUCUUUAGAUUUUUCACAAUAAAUUUAUGGUAAAAAAAGGCAACUGGGUGCAUUUAUAAUAGUUUUUGAGAAGUGAAGAGUCAUUUCCUGUAAGGAAGUGCUAUUUACUUGCUGAUACUUGAUGUGCAUCUCUAAAGCCACAUUAUAGAGAAGAGAGGAGCGACCAUGGAUUCUCCAGCAGCAGCCUGUGGGCUUGUCAUCCUUCUCUUGUCUGCCUUAGGUCAGAGAUUUGUCACCUCAUUGCGAGUCUUCCCAGAUCUCCAAGUGCAAGUGAACUCACCAUCAAGCUGCAUAUUUUUUAGUUGUACCUGGGCUGAACUAAAAUGUGUCA